rnacentral:rRNA from 1 species
AACGAACGCUGGCGGCAUGCCUAACACAUGCAAGUCGAACGAGACCUUCGGGUCUAGUGGCGCACGGGUGCGUAACGCGUGGGAAUCUGCCCCUUGGUUCGGAAUAACAGUUAGAAAUGACUGCUAAUACCGGAUGAUGACGAAAGUCCAAAGAUUUAUCGCCGAGGGAUGAGCCCGCGUAGGAUUAGCUAGUUGGUGAGGUAAAGGCUCACCAAGGCGACGAUCCUUAGCUGGUCUGAGAGGAUGAUCAGCCACACUGGGACUGAGACACGGCCCAGACUCCUACGGGAGGCAGCAGUGGGGAAUAUUGGACAAUGGGCGAAAGCCUGAUCCAGCAAUGCCGCGUGAGUGAUGAAGGCCCUAGGGUUGUAAAGCACUGUGGGAGGGGAAGAAAAACCGGAGUGUAUCCGGUCUUGACGGUACCCUGUUAGAAAGCACCGGCUAACUCCGUGCCAGCAGCCGCGGUAAU